rnacentral:rRNA from 1 species
GAUUAAGCCAUGCAUGUGUAAGUGUAAAUUGUUAAGUUUGGAACUGCGAAUGGCUCAUUAUAUCAGUUAUAGUUUAUUUGGUGAAGGAUACUAAUUGGAUAACCGUAGUAAUUCUAGGGCUAAUACAUGAGAAAGUCCUCUGGUGAGGUGUGUUUAUUAGAAUGAAAACCAUAUGCUUCGGCAUGAUAGUGAGUAAUAGUAACCUAUCGUAUCGCAUGCUUAAUGUAGCGAUGAGUCUUUCAAGUUUCUGCCCUAUCAGCUUUCGAUGGUAGUAUAUGGGCCUACCAUG